rnacentral:rRNA from 1 species
ACGUAAUAGAUACCCGGGUAGUCCACGCCCUAAACGAUGUCGACUAGUUGUUCGGAGCAGCAAUGCACUGAGUAAACGUAGCUAACGCGUGAAGUCGACCGCCUGGGGAGUACGGCCGCAAGGUUAAAACUCAAAGGAAUUGACGGGGACCCGCACAAGCGGUGGAUGAUGUGGAUUAAUUCGAUGCAACGCGAAAACCUUACCUACCCUUGACAUGCCAGGAACCUUGCUGAGAGGCGAGGGUGCCUUCGGGAGCCUGGACACAGGUGCUGCAUGGCUGUCGUCAGCUCGUGUCGUGAGAUGUUGGGUUAAGUCCCGCAACGAGCGCAACCCUUGUCACUAGUUGCCAUCAUUUGGUUGGGCACUCUAGUGAGACUGCCGGUGACAAACCGGAGGAAGGUGGGGAUGACGUCAAGUCCUCAUGGCCCUUAUGGGUAGGGCUUCACACGUCAUACAAUGGUCGGUACAGAGGGUUGCCAAGCCGCGAGGUGGAGCUAAUCCCUUAAAGCCGAUCGUAGUCCGGAUCGUAGU